CAAUGGAAUCUAAUCAAAGGAAAAGCAAUGGAAAGAAAAAAGAAGCAAGGAAAUGGAAAGUCCAGAGAUUGCAGCUUUGGCAGCCACUGAAGGACCAGUGUGGUGGGGAGCCCAGACGACAGGUCAGCUGAGAAUAUACAGCCUUCCCACUGGACUCCUCCCUGUGUAUUCUCCUCCUCAAUUU